rnacentral:sRNA from 1 species
UUAUAAGUAUCAGAUCAAGUCAAUUUAUUGUCAGUUACGACAAAUUCUUAGAUGCUGUGAACAAUAAGUUCAAUGUUGGUUCAAGAUUUACAAUGCGGUUUGAGGGUGAUGAUUUCUCUGAAAGAAGGUAACAUUAGAUGAAAACUUUUUUCUACUUAAAUAUAUUUGUAAUGU